rnacentral:rRNA from 1 species
CAGCAGCCGCGGUAAUACGAAGGGUGCAAGCGUUAAUCGGAAUUACUGGGCGUAAAGCGUGCGUAGGCGGUGAGUUAAGUCUGCUGUGAAAUCCCCGGGCUCAACCUGGGAAUGGCGGUGGAUACUGGCUCGCUAGAGUGUGUCAGAGGAUGGUGGAAUUCCCGGUGUAGCGGUGAUAUGCGUAGAGAUCUGGAGGAAUACCGGUGGCGAAGGCGGCCCCCCGGACAAAGACUGACGCUCAGGUGCGAAAGCGUGGGGAGCAAACAGGAUUAGAUACCCCUGUAGUCCCUGUCUCUUAUAC